rnacentral:misc_RNA from 1 species
UCGUAACAAGGUCUCCGUUGGUGAACCAGCGGAGGGAUCAUUACCGAGUUUACAACUCCCAAACCCUUAUGUGAACCGUACCUAUCGUUGCUUCGGCGGGAACGCCCCGGCGCCCUGCGCCCGGAUCCAGGCGCCCGCCGGAGACCCCAAACUCUUGUGUUUUUUUCAGUAUUCUCUGAGUGGCAAACGCAAAAAUAAAUCAAAACUUUUAACAACGGAUCUCUUGGCUCUGGCAUCGAUGAAGAACGCAGCGAAAUGCGAUAAGUAAUGUGAAUUGCAGAAUUCAGUGAAUCAUCGAAUCUUUGAACGCACAUUGCGCCCGUUAGCAUUCUAGCGGGCAUGCCUGUCCGAGCGUCAUUUCAACCCUCAGGGUCCCCGUUCCGGCGGGGAACCUGGUGUUGGGGAUCGGCCCGCCCCGCGCGGCGCCGUCCCCCAAAUUCAGUGGCGGUCUCGCUGCAGCCUCCCCUGCGUAGUAGUUACAACCUCGCAUCGGAGCUCAGCGCGGCCACGCCGUAAAACCCCCGACUUUCUGAACGUUGACCUCGGAUCAGGUAGGAAUACCCGCUGAACUUAAGCAUAUCAAUAA